rnacentral:rRNA from 1 species
UCCCCGGCGUUCCCCGGCGAAGUUGGACCAGGCAACCGGGAAAUUCUCCGACGAACGGCUCAUCAGCGUCGGAGGGCGGAGCAAGGUGUACCGUGGCCAGAUCGCCGACAGUUAAGUCGUCGCUGUGAAGAAGCUUCGGCCCCUCGGAGGCGCCGACGAAGACUACUAGUUCCUGUCAGAGAUCGAGCUGCUAUCACGGCUGAACGACUACCACGUGGUGCCAUUGCUGGGGUACUCCUCGGAGCGGCAGGGACGGCAGCUGGAGCGUCUGCUGGUGUUCGAGUGCAUGACCAACGGCAACCUGAGGGAGUGCCUGGACGACCUCAACAGGAAGCCCAUGGACUGGGCGACGCGCGUCGGCGUGGCGCUGGGCGCGGCGAGGGGCCUCGAGUACCUCCACGAGGCUGCGGCGCCGCGCAUCCUCCACCGGGACAUCAAGUCCACCAACAUCCUGCUCGACGACCGGUUCACGGACCUGGGCAUGGCCAAGUGCCUGAUGAACGACGGCGUGACCAGCUGCUUCAGCUCGCCGGCGCGCAUGCUGGGCACCUUCGGGUACUUCGCCCCCGAGUACGCCAUCGUCGGCAAGGCGUCGCUCAAGUCGUACGUCUUCAGCUUCGGCGUGGUGGUGCUGGAGCUCAUCACGGGCCGGCAGCCCGUGCACAAGAGGGGCGGCGCUGGCGCCAGCGGCGCGGGCACGGACGAGAGCUUGGUGAUGUGGGCGACGUCGCGGCUGCGGGACAGCAGGCUGGUGGUCGCGGAGCUGCCGGACCCGGCGCUGAAGGGCGGGUUCCCGCCCGAGGAGAUGCAGAUCAUGGCGCACCUGGCAAGGGAGUGCCUGCAGUGGGACCCCGAGGCCAGGCCCACCAUGGCCGAGGUCGUCCAGAUCCUCUCCACCAUCGCGCCCCUCGCCGACAAGCGCCGCCGCCACCACCUGCCCGCCGCCGCCGGCGCCUUCGCCCCGGGCUUCCGUGCCGAGAGGCGGCAGGAAUGCUCGGCGUGGCAGGACGGCGACGACGGCCAUCGCCGCGAUCACCUGCACGGAGGGAACGAUAG